AGUUUAGAGUAGGUUAGUAUCGCGCAAGAUGUCAGUAUCCUUUCUUCGUAUGCAAUGACGAAGUCGCACUUUUGUAGUUAGCGUGUUUCGCUGUUUAGUUUCUCUAGUCUGCCAGUGUCGUGCAAUUUGUUGUCGCCUAAGGUCGCUCAAAUCGACGAUGCGAUUGAGUAAAAGCCACUUGUUGGGUCUAGUGCCUGGAAAGAAAUUAGGAAUAGAGCUGCAUGCAAUUCGUUUGUUCCCUUUUAACGGGUGGUUGCUUAGCUCGCAGAUAUUAUCUCGUUUAUCUGGACAACGGCGAGCAACGUGGAUGAUGAUUAUGACGAUGGUGGUUUCGUUUUCUCGGACGACGCAAGAGGCAUGGAGAACAAAACGUAUGAACGUAAGAGAUCAGUGAGCCGUGUGAUCGAUGAACGAUGAACGAUGAUCCAUGAUGCCUGGCCACGUUUCUGUCAGUCGUUCGGUCGUUGAUCGUCGCCAUUUCCAUCCAUCGACACUUCCAUUGUUGACGACAUCGAACAACACGAGAGACAUCCACCGAUUUUUAACGGACAAUCGUAUUAAUGUCACGAUGGAGUGCAGGCAAAGGUGGAGGGCUCUUUUCAUAAGGAUACGAGACGGAUCCUCCAGGAUGGCGUUUCUGGCUUCUGAGAAAGGCCUUGGAGAGAAAUAUUCGCGGACCGCCGAAUAUUUACACCUCCGACAAAGUUAACGUGUCUUUACAGCCUUCCUUUUCGUUCGUUUAUUUAUUUUCGAUUUUCAAAGUUUUAACUUUUAUCUUAACUUACUCGUCUAUCCAACAGGCAGAAGCCAAAAGCACCUGGUUACAAAUUACUGACAAGAACUUUGACAAGAAUUAUCAACUAAAGGAAGAAAACUCCGAGAACGAGCGGUUAUAAUUAAUUAAUUAAUUGGAUUCAACGACGAUAAUGCUUUCGUUCCACAUUCUCAUGCGUUUCUUCGUUCAUUCUCUUUUUCGUUCUCACUCAGGUCUUUUUUGCUUUCAUUCGUAUUUUUUUGUCGUUUCCGUUCUUUUUUUCUUUUUUUUACUUUUUGGCACUAGAAUUUUUAUAAUUAUAUUUUAUCUCUCGUUCGUGAACGUUCGAGUCGCGUGUUUACAACAACGUUUAAACUUUCCAAACUUCUCUUUUCGUUUCGUUUCGCGCUUCUUUUUCUUUCUCGAUUCUUUCUGUCUGAUCUUUUCUGUGGUUUUUAUAAUUACUUUUUUGAUUUGGUUUUACGACGUCGUUCACUCUCUUUGGUUUGGACUUUUGCUCAGAGUUCUUUAGUACGUACCGGGGAUGAAGCGUUCUACAGGUUUGUAUUGAUGCGGGUAGAUCUGCCUCGGUGUGUAACCGUAGAUCUCACGGUGGACGGGCAGGUACCUUCAGGGAAUAACGUUUACUUUAAUAAAAAAAAAGUUUGCUUCGUCUUAUUAUUUAAGAUGAUAAAUAAUAUUAUUCAAGAUAAUUAAAGCUAUUGCCAGAUUGUAAGAACAUAGUCCAUCAUUUUGUCGUUGCUCAAGUGUAUAAAUAACAGAAAACAAUCAUCUUUUACAUCGACUUUGAGAUUUUGCAACAUUCCAUAAGGUUAUUCUAUAAAAAUGUUCGUCACUACGUUUGACCAUGUAUUGUAUAGCAGUCUUAUUAUGAAAGAUACGUUAAGAUGAUCUUUCUUUUAUCUUUUAUCGCACGAGUGGCCUGCCUACCUAAUUAAAUUAUUUAUGUUAUCAAAGUUUCAACGAAGUAUCGAUUCUUAAGCAUCGAUUGAAAUAUUGUUAGUUAACGAGUUUCAAAGGUACUCCAAGAAAUCUUACCUGUAUCCAGGAACGUUGAUGCGAUCAGCCGCAUGGAUGGGGGUUUCAAAGAUAGACUUUCCAAAUGGCCACGAGGUGGAUAGCUCAGGAUAAUCUGAACGGAAAAUGCUGCGAGGUCUGUGCGUGUGUUCAGGGGCUCUCAUAUCGUCGGUGCCUGUAAACAGUAAUAGUUAUAUAGGAUGUUAACACCUCUGUAAACACCGAUACCAAAAGUAUUGUACAAGACAAAUUGCGACAAACGUACUUCCUUAAAAAAUCUCUCAAUUAUUACAAAAUUUGGAAGUUACGUGAUUUCGUUUGAAAAAGGUGAGAAGAGAAUAAGAAGCGCGAAAGAAAUUAAAGCAACUAAGAUUUCGUUCAGAAGGAAUUCGAUAUUAUAAAAAUUAAAUAUACAUAAAGCUGAUAGAGGAGAAACUAACUUUUUCCAGCAGCGAUCGAGUUUAAAUAGAAAGCGAAUAAACUUUCGAGUUAAAGUCUGUUCGCGUUAAAUUCCUUAAUUCCAAGUAAUGCACGAAGGAGUACCUUUUAAGGCUCGAACGUAACUCUGCCAGAAUUUGGCCUUCCUUGUGAUAGGCUCGUUGCGCCCGAUCAUGUCGAGAUUGCUUCUAAAGCGCGCGUCCAUUUUGCCGCUCUACUGAACUGCUAACCACACUCGUUCGCUGAAAUAAACGAACGUAAAUUACUUUUUGCGUUUUUAUAAUCCAACGCGUGAAGAUAUCCGAUGAUCUAAUUUGUCCGCGUCAGGAAGGAAAGAUCGACGAUUGUGAUUCAGAUUCGAUAUAGGAAUUGCUCUUCGCUGGCAUAAAUCUUGUAUGUUAGCGAUAAUGUAAUUUCUGAAAGAGAUUAAUCCUUAAUUAAUGUAACACUACGUAUUCUUUUGUCAGUUAAUCAUUUGCGGAAUAAAAAUGGUUACGAUAAAUGUCUAAGGUUAGAGAAAAACAUUGCGUAAGCGCAUGUUAAUUAUAAAAUACGACGUCUUCGAUAUUUCAAAUUUAAAAUACUUCAGCGUGCCAAAUUUCAAAUGUUUAGAAUAUAUAAUAUUUCUCAAUAAGAUCGCUAGAAAUAUCAAAGUGCGAUAAACUUAAAUAGAAGACUACAAUUUCUUAGAAAUACAGUUUUCACGGAAAUUUGUAAACACAACGGUAUGUGUAUAAUCGAUCUCAUAAACAACAAGGAAUUUCUAAAUUUGAAAUACAUAAAAAAAAAAGACAGCGCCGUAAAAUAUAUCUUCGCUAAGAUUAUAUUUACGUUAAAAUUUCCCUGUUUGGUAUCUGGGAUAGUAUUUAACAAGUACGAGGAUAAUAAUGCAACAAAUUUAGGGCUUGUAAUGCUAGCAGACAGUAAACGCGCUAAAAAUAAGAAACUUAUGGACGAUAAUUUGCAAAGGUGUUUGUUGGCAUCCUGUCGCUUUCUAAGUAUAGCGGACACGAUUUUUCGCGGUCGAUUUCUUCAUCAUUCUUGUUAAACCAGAUUUUAUAAUUAUAUAUAUUUACAACUACUAUUUAAAACUGGGAGUAAAAAAUAGAUUUCAUUAACACUUUGUAUUAACACAUACUACUCGGUAUUAACACAUAAUGCCAUCUAGUGACAAGACGAAAAUCACAUUAGCAUAUUACGUUUUAUAUUUAAUAAAAUUUAAAAUUUAUAAACUUA